AGAACGAACGCUGGCGGCAUGCCUAAUACAUGCAAGUCGAACGAACACUUCGGUGUUAGUGGCGCACGGGUGCGUAACGCGUGGGAAUCUGCCCUUGGGUUCGGAAUAACAGUUGGAAACGACUGCUAAUACCGGAUGAUGACGAAAGUCCAAAGAUUUAUCGCCCAGGGAUGAGCCCGCGUAGGAUUAGCUAGUUGGUGAGGUAAAGGCUCACCAAGGCGACGAUCCUUAGCUGGUCUGAGAGGAUGAUCAGCCACACGUGGGACUGAGACACGGCCCAGACCUCCGACGGGAGCAGCAGGUAGGAAUAGUGGACAAGUGGGCGACGAAGCCUAGACUCCGAGC
rnacentral:rRNA from 1 species